GACGAACGCUGGCGGCGUGCCUAAUACAUGCAAGUUGAGCGAUGAAGAUUGGUGCUUGCACCAAUUUGAAGAGCAGCGAACGGGUGAGUAACGCGUGGGGAAUCUGCCUUUGAGCGGGGGACGACAUUUGGAAACGAAUGCUAAUACCGCAUAACAACUUUAAACAUAAGUUUUAAGUUUGAAAGAUGCAAUUGCAUCACUCAAAGAUGAUCCCGCGUUGUAUUAGCUAGUUGGUGAGGUAAAGGCUCACCAAGGCGAUGAUACAUAGCCGACCUGAGAGGGUGAUCGGCCACAUUGGGACUGAGACACGGCCCAAACUCCUACGGGAGGCAGCAGUAGGGAAUCUUCGGCAAUGGACGAAAGUCUGACCGAGCAACGCCGCGUGAGUGAAGAAGGGUUUCGGAUCGUAAAACUCUGUUGGUAGAGAAGAACGUUGGUGAGAGUGGAAAGCUCAUCAAGUGACGGUAACUACCCAGAAAGGGACGGCUAACUACGUG
rnacentral:rRNA from 1 species